rnacentral:rRNA from 1 species
UACAGGGAGCUACCACUUAACCACUAGAUGCUAAGUUACGUUGGUUUUAAGAGCCUUCACGGCGCUGAAGAGAGCUAGCUGUGGCGUGCGCUUGUUGUGAAGGCUUUGUUCCUCUUUGAUUCGGAUAGAUACGGCGAUCGUUUAAUGGUGUUGGCUUGGCGCCUGUCGCUGCCUAGGGUCUUUUUUGUCGUCCUAUCCUGCUAUCGUUGGUCGUAACGCUAGACGCUCAAGCGCCGCCGCGGCCGGUACGUCGUUCUCGAGCGGCGCGACCGCAUGGUCAGCCGGCCAAAGCAGCCGGAGGGCUGCAGGAUGGACGGCGGCGUGGGCGUGCUGCACCUGCACCUGGAGCAGCUGCCCACCAACCAGCCGCCGUCGCGGCCCCGACCGCUGUUACCGGUGCCGGGCGGCAGCACGCCGUCGCCGGACUCGGUGCAGCGGCUGCGGCACUCGCUCUGCUCCUUCCGCUCCGCCGACCGCAGCUUGGCGCUCAGCCGCGCCGCCAGCGCCUACGCCGCCGCCUCCGUCGACCUGCUCGACAGCCGCACGCGGCGCCUCGACGCGCGCCGGUUGGUCGCCGAGCAGCACCUCGACUUGGCGCGGCUCCGGUCCGUGCGCGUCCAGCAGGCCCUCUUGCGCGCCGAGGCCCUCCUCGAGGCGGCGGACGCCCUCUCCGAGCGGCGGCUCCUUCUCUGGUGGCUAGCUCGCCCUCUUCUGCGGCCGCUGCUUCGACGACGGCGUUCUUGCGGGACCUAAUAAUACAAAAGUAGCUAGCCCGAGAACCCUAACAAGUGAGGACGAAGUCACUUUGUGAUGAGGCAUAGUCAAUUGAAGCAACCGACGUUGUAGCAAGGAUGUCAGGGGACAGCUGAUUAGCGACCACCGGAACCACAACGGGGCGACGGCCGCUGUCGCUGCAGCCUGUGGCCGGUCGGCGGCCUGUGGCCGUCGGUUGAGCGGUAUCUGGUAGAUCAACGAGGUAGGCGACCCGGGCAAGAAGGCACCCCGGUUCCCGGUCACCCACCCAACACACGCGCGCAGCAGCCGCAAACGGAGACGGAAGAGACGGAGUACCAACUGGCUCACCUAACCGAUCCACUCUCUUCAGGACACAAACAGCUAACCGACCGGGACGUACGCGCGGCACUAACCGAGCAAGGGCGCGCGCAGUCACAGAAGCCACACCUUCGACCACGCCAGCGGACGAAACGAUAGGGCCCGAGAGCGCUCUCGCUGCACACGAACCCGAGGCACGCCGGUCUCGCCAGUUUCGUUCACCUUAGUACGAUGAGAUGAACAAAGAUGGACUGGCAAAAGAUGGGUCGACGCAGACACCAGCGUCAACAACAAACCAGGGCGCAAUGUCACUGAACCAACAGCAGAUUCCCACCUCUCCUCCUGUCGGCGUCGUCGUUCGCCGUACGACGGGGUAGGUAAGGUCGGCAGCAUGUACCGGCGUAGCUAAAAGUCAACGGAGUGGAGAACGACAAGCCAAAAGGAGGAAGAAGGAGGAAACAACCAUGUCCUAACAAACAAAGCAACCUUCGCUCCGACGAGCCCAUACACUGAUGUAGUCCACCAAUAAACGAGGGCCUCUAGUUUCUAAUAAAUCGGUAAGGGCACGAAGGUUUCGCUGAGUACUGGGGAGAAUAUUGAGACGAGACCUUAUAACUCAAAUUGUGGACGUAACCAUGACAAUUGGAAAGUCACUCGCUCAAGUGUUCCGUUGACCUUCCCCUUACGUAUAGAGAACAGUAAUACCACAUGUUCGAAUAAACCAUAGUCAAAUCUAACAAGCUAUACCACGUUCCCGUACGCGAUUUACUCUCUUUCUUGGUUGUGUUCCCUUCCUUGUCCCCAGUCUGUUGACUAUAGUACCGUUAGUGAGACAAAGACGGAAAGAUACAAUAACAAAGGUAAGGAAUACUCCUUCCCCAUUGGUAGACU